AAAAAAAUAAAAUAUGCAUGCUUCAUGAUAAUUUGACCUAGUGAAUAAAAUGAUAGACGUGGACUGUUUCGGUAAAUAAAAAAAAGGAAAAAAAAGAAGAAGAAAAAGGUGAUUAUAUUCAUAGCCCCUAUUUUACUCUUUAUAGCCACUAUCUAAAAUAAUAAUUAAAAUUUUACCUUAUAUUUUAUCUUACAUUUAAGUAUGGGGCUAUGAACAGAACUAAAAAAAAAAAAAGCACAACCCAAUUUUGGCUUAUUGCUGCCACCUAAACACUACGGGCCAUAUUGCUUUUGUCAAUAACG
rnacentral:lncRNA from 1 species